rnacentral:ribozyme from 1 species
AAUUAAAACAAAAGAAAGAAAAGAGAGAGAAGAAACGAACCACGUGUUCCUGUGUUCUUUGUGUUUCCUUUCGUUCAGCUUAAUUCGUGCUUCAUUCCAUUCCAUUACAAUUAAGCU